CCGCGCGGGGCGGCGCAGGCGCAGAGGAGGCGCCGUGAGGAGCUGCGGGCCGGGCCUAGGAAAAAGUUUGGCCUCAGCUCGAGGCUUGGGCCAGAUCCUGGAAAAAAAGAGAAAUUGAAAUGGCGCUUGCAAACGCAGCGAAAUCCUCUCUUUUUGUGCCGCCCACGGUUCUGCUUCUGAAGUAAUUUUCUGUGUGGGUUUGGGACCUGGAGUGGGAUAAAAAUGCCUGAGAUUAAAGUCACUCCCUUGGGUGCCGGGCAGGACGUGGGCAGGAGCUGCAUCCUGGUGUCCAUAGCUGGCAAGAACGUGAUGCUGGACUGUGGGAUGCACAUGGGCUACAACGAUGACAGACGCUUCCCUGACUUCUCCUACAUCACCCAGAAUGGAAGGCUCACUGAUUUCCUGGACUGUGUCAUCAUCAGCCACUUCCACCUGGACCACUGUGGGGCCCUGCCCUAUUUCAGUGAGAUGGUUGGAUACGAUGGCCCCAUCUACAUGACCCACCCCACCAAAGCCAUCUGCCCCAUCCUGCUGGAGGACUACAGGAAAAUCACCGUGGACAAAAAGGGGGAAACCAACUUCUUCACCUCCCAGAUGAUCAAAGACUGCAUGAAGAAGGUGGUGGCUGUGCACCUCCACCAGACAGUGCAGGUGGAUGAGGAGCUGCAGAUCAAGGCCUACUACGCCGGCCACGUGCUGGGAGCGGCCAUGUUCCAGAUCAGGGUUGGCUGUGAGUCCGUGGUGUACACAGGUGAUUACAACAUGACACCUGACAGACACCUGGGCGCGGCGUGGAUCGACAAGUGCCGCCCGGCCGUGCUGAUCACCGAGUCCACCUACGCCACCACCAUCAGGGACUCCAAGCGCUGCCGGGAGAGGGAUUUCCUGCGCAAAGUGCACGAGACUGUGGAGAGGGGAGGCAAGGUUCUCAUCCCAGUUUUUGCCCUUGGACGUGCCCAAGAGCUUUGUAUUUUAUUGGAAACUUUUUGGGAAAGGAUGAACCUGAAAGCUCCAAUUUAUUUUUCCACGGGCCUGACAGAGAAAGCAAACCAUUAUUACAAACUCUUCAUCACCUGGACUAACCAGAAAAUCCGGAAAACUUUUGUGCAGAGGAACAUGUUUGAGUUCAAACACAUCAAAGCCUUUGACAGAGCCUUUGCAGACAACCCAGGGCCCAUGGUGGUUUUUGCAACCCCUGGAAUGCUCCAUGCAGGACAAUCCCUGCAGAUCUUCAGGAAAUGGGCAGGCAACGAGAAAAACAUGGUGAUCAUGCCUGGCUACUGUGUCCAGGGAACUGUUGGCCACAAGAUCCUCAGUGGGCAAAGGAAGCUGGAGAUGGAAGGGAGGCAAAUUCUGGAGGUGAAGAUGCAGGUGGAGUACAUGUCCUUCAGCGCCCACGCCGACGCCAAGGGCAUCAUGCAGCUGAUCCGGCAGGCGGAGCCCAGCGCGGUGCUCCUGGUGCACGGGGAGGCCAAGAAAAUGGAAUUCCUGCAGCAGAAAAUCCAGCAGGAGUUCCGUAGGUGUCGGGGCAGAUGUCAGCUGCUUCAUGCCGGCCAAUGGAGAGACCACCACCAUCCUCACCAACCCCUGCAUCCCUGUGGACAUCUCCCUGGGCCUCCUCAAAAGGGAAUCAGCCAUAGGUCCUGUCCCAGAUGCCAAGAAGCCAAAGCUGAUGCACGGCACGUUGCUCAUGAAGGACAACAGUUUCAGGCUGGUUUGCCCAGAGCAGGCCCUGAAGGAGCUGGGGCUGGCAGAGCAUCAGCUGCGCUUCACCUGCCGCGUGCACGUCCAGGAUCCGCGCAAGGAGCACGAGACCGUGCUCAGGGUCUACAACCACCUCAAGGGGAUCCUGAAGGAUUACUCAGUGCAGCACCUCCCUGAUGGCUCCAUCACCGUGGAGUCCAUCCUGAUCCAGGCCACAGCUCACUCAGAGGAUCAAGGAACCAAAGUCCUGCUCGUGUCCUGGACCUACCAGGAUGAAGAGCUUGGCAGUUAUCUCACAUCCCUCCUGAAGAAAGGGCUGCCCCAGAGCCCCCCCUGAGAGCCCAGCCCAGCUCCCAGACUCAGAUUUUAUUCUGUUUACAUUGUCAAUGCUUUUUUUUUUUUUUUUUUCUGCUUUGGUUUUAAUAAAAGAAUUCCAGUGUUUGUCCAA